CGCUGGCGGCACGCCUAACACAUGCAAGUCGAACGAAGUAGCAAUACUUAGUGGCAGACGGGUGAGUAACAUGUAGGUAUCUGCCCUUUGGCCUGGAAUAACACGAGGAAACUUGUGCUAAUACCGGAUAAGUCUUUACGGAGAAAGCUUUAUGCACCAUUGGAUGAGCCUGCACUUGAUUAGUUUGUUGGUAGGGUAAUGGCCUACCAAGACUAUGAUCAAUAGCUGAUUUGAGAGGAUGAUCAGCCACAUUGGGACUGAGACACGGCCCAAACUCCUACGGGAGGCAGCAGUGGGGAAUCUUGCACAAUGGAGGAAACUCUGAUGCAGCGAUGCCGCGUGAGUGAAGAAGGCCCUUGGGUUGUAAAGCUCUUUCGUCGGGGAAGAAAAUGACUGUACCCGAAUAAGAAGGUCCGGCUAACUUCGUGCCAGCAGCCGCGGUAAUACGAAGGGACCUAGCGUAGUUCGGAAUUACUGGGCUUAAAGAGUUCGUAGGUGGUUGAAAAAGUUGGUGGUGAAAUCCCAGAGCUUAACUCUGGAACUGCCAUCAAAACUUUUCAGCUAGAGUUUGAUAGAGGAAAGCAGAAUUUCUAGUGUAGAGGUGAAAUUCGUAGAUAUUAGAAAGAAUACCAAUUGCGAAGGCAGCUUUCUGGAUCAUUACUGACACUGAGGAACGAAAGCAUGGGUAGCGAAGAGGAUUAGAUACCCUCGUAGUCCAUGCCGUAAACGAUGUGUGUUAGACGUUGGAAAUUUAUUUUCAGUGUCGCAGCAAAAGCGAUAAACACACCGCCUGGGGAGUACGACCGCA
rnacentral:rRNA from 1 species